CAGUAACGGCGAGUGAAGCGGCAACAGCUCAAUUUGAAAUCUGGCUCUCGGGCCCGAGUUGUAAUUUGUAGAGGAUGCUUUUGGUGAGGUGCCUUCCGAGUUCCCUGGAACGGGACGCCAUAGAGGGUGAGAGCCCCGUCUGGUUGGACACCGAUCCUCUGUAAAGCUCCUUCGACGAGUCGAGUAGUUUGGGAAUGCUGCUCUAAAUGGGAGGUAUAUGUCUUCUAAAGCUAAAUACCGGCCAGAGACCGAUAGCGCACAAGUAGAGUGAUCGAAAGAUGAAAAGAACUUUGAAAAGAGAGUUAAAAAGUACGUGAAAUUGUUGAAAGGGAAGCGCUUGUGACCAGACUUGGGCUUGGUUGAUCAUCCGGGGUUCUCCCCGGUGCACUCUUCCGGCUCAGGCCAGCAUCAGUUCGCCCUGGGGGAUAAAGGCUUCGGGAAUGUGGCUCUCUCCGGGGAGUGUUA
rnacentral:rRNA from 1 species